rnacentral:rRNA from 2 species
AAAGUCUGAUGGAGCAACGCCGCGUGAGUGAUGAAGGUUUUCGGAUCGUAAAACUCUGUUGUAAGGGAAGAACCAGUACGUCAGGCAAUGGACGUACCUUGACGGUACUUGAGGAGGAAGCCCCGGCUAACUACGUGCCAGCAGCCGCGGUAAUACGUAGGGGGCUAGCGUUAUCCGGAUUUACUGGGCGUAAAGGGUGCGUAGGUGGUUUCUUAAGUCAGGAGUGAAAGGCUACGGCUCAACCGUAGUAAGCUCUUGAAACUGGGAAACUUGAGUGCAGGAGAGGAAAGUGGAAUUCCUAGUGUAGCGGUGAAAUGCGUAGAUAUUAGGAGGAACACCAGUAGCGAAGGCGGCUUUCUGGACUGUAACUGACACUGAGGCACGAAAGCGUGGGGAGCAAACA